CGGACCCUGUUAAGCGGCGGACUGGUGAGUAGCGCGUGGGUGACCUACCUUAAGAGAUGGGGAUAGCCGUUAGAAAUAGCGGGUAAUACCGAAUAGACUUAUCUGACUAUGGUUAGGUGAGGAAAGGAGCUAAGGCUCCGCCUAUAGAUGGGCCCGCGUUCCAUUAGCUAGUUGGUGAGGUAAAGGCCCACCAAGGGCGAUGAUGGGUAGCCGGCCUGAGAGGGUGAACGGCACACUGGGACUGAGAUACGGCCAGACUCCUACGGGAGGCAGCAGCUAAGAAUAUGCCACAAUGGACGGAAGUCUGAUGGAGCGACGCCGCGUGUAUGAAGAAGGCCGAAAGGUUGUAAAAUCCUUUUGUCGAUGAAGAAUAAUCACAGUAGGGAAUGAUUGUGAGAUGACGUUAGUCGGCGAAUAAGCCCCGGCUAAU
rnacentral:rRNA from 1 species